GCCUCGGUUGGCUGUCAGUCAUGGGACUUAAGCUCUCUGCUUGGUGAUUGGUUAAAGGAUAAGCAGGGUGGAUGUGACCUAAACAGAUCCAGCAUCUUCCCUGAGAGAUUACACAUGGAUUCUGAAAGAGCAGGCUCGCUCUUCCUCUGGGAUCCUGAGAUAAAUGAUGAUGCUCGCUGGAACCAUUUAUGAUCAUCUUCCUGAAUUUAUGGGGGAAAGUCUGCAGGAGAGAAUAAAGUUGACGCACAAAAUGCAGCAGAGGCAAGCUGAGACAAAAAGAUCAGUGAAAAGAGACAGAGGAGGAAGUUUGUUUUGUCAGAGCCCACAGUAUCCUCGCAUUUACUGCUGUCAGAGGGGCCAGUGGCAACUACUCUUUCAGAAAAGCAAAAUUUCCCGAGAAGAAAUCGUGAGGUUUCUCUUGCUAUGUGACCUUAAGGAGAUGACUUCACACCUCUCAGAUUCAGUUCCUGGACUGGUAAAAAUGCAGCCCUGAUGACCACUUGGUGCAGUGUCCAAGAUGGAUUUAUACACAGAUAUAUGGUGAUGGUAUGUGCCUGGGACUUACUAGCACCUCCCUAAAUCUGGACAA
rnacentral:lncRNA from 1 species